rnacentral:rRNA from 1 species
GCCGGUAUUUAAUUAAAGUGUGCCCUACCUCUUCCCAUUCCGAACAGAGAAGUAAAAGCACUUUAAUCCGAUGAUACUCGGAUCCAAUCCGAUCCCGGGAAAGUAGGAUACGCCGGCA